rnacentral:rRNA from 1 species
AACGAACGCUGGCGGCACGCCUAACACAUGCAAGUCGAACUGAAUAAGUAGCUUCGGUUAUUUAUUGAAUGGCGGACGGGUGAGUAACACGUGGGAACCUGCCCAGUAGUGGGGGAUAACUGUUGGAAACGACAGGUAAUACCGCAUACGCCCUUCGGGGUAAGGAUUUGUUGCUAUUGGAUGGGCCCGCGGUGGAUUGGGUAGUUGGUAGGGUCAAGGCCAACCAAGCAAAUGAUCCAUAGCUGGUUUGGGAGGCCGACCAGCCACACUGGGACUGAGACACGGCCCAGACUGCUACGGGAGGCAGCAGUGUGGAAUCUUAGACAAUGGGGGAAACCCUGAUCUAGCGAUGCCGCGUGAGUGAAGAAGGCCUUCGGGUUGUAAAGCUCUUUUACCUGUGAAGAUGAUGACGGUAGCAGGAGAAAAAGCACCGGCAAACUCUGUGCCAGCAGCCGCCGUAA